GCUGUCGGCGUGCUUAACACAUGCAAGUCGAACGGAAAGGCCCUGCUUUUGUGGGGUGCUCGAGUGGCGAACGGGUGAGUAACACGUGAGUAACCUGCCCUUGACUUUGGGAUAACUUCAGGAAACUGGGGCUAAUACCGGAUAGGAGCUCCUGCUGCAUGGUGGGGGUUGGAAAGUUUCGGCGGUUGGGGAUGGACUCGCGGCUUAUCAGCUUGUUGGUGGGGUAGUGGCUUACCAAGGCUUUGACGGGUAGCCGGCCUGAGAGGGUGACCGGCCACAUUGGGACUGAGAUACGGCCCAGACUCCUACGGGAGGCAGCAGUGGGGAAUAUUGCACAAUGGGCGGAGGCCUGAUGCAGCAACGUCGCGUGCGGGAUGACGGCCUUCGGGUUGUAAACCGCUUUCGCCUGUGACGAAGCGUGAGUGACGGUAAUGGGUAAAGAAGCACCGGCUAACUACGUGCCAGCAGCCGCGGUGAUACGUAGGGUGCGAGCGUUGUCCGGAUUUAUUGGGCGUAAAGGGCUCGUAGGUGGUUGAUCGCGUCGGAAGUGUAAUCUUGGGGCUUAACCCUGAGCGUGCUUUCGAUACGGGUUGACUUGAGGAAGGUAGGGGAGAAUGGAAUUCCUGGUGGAGCGGUGGAAUGCGCAGAUAUCAGGAGGAACACCAGUGGCGAAGGCGGUUCUCUGGGCCUUUCCUGACGCUGAGGAGCGAAAGCGUGGGGAGCGAACAGGCUUAGAUACCCUGGUAGUCCACGCUGUAAACGGUGGGUACUAGGUGUGGGGUCCAUUCCACGGGUUCCGUGCCGUAGCUAACGCUUUAAGUACCCCGCCUGGGGAGUACGGCCGCAAGGCUAAAACUCAAAGGAAUUGACGGGGCCCCGCACAAGCGGCGGAGCAUGCGGAUUAAUUCGAUGCAACGCGUAGAACCUUACCUGGGUUUGACAUGGAUCGGGAGUGCUCAGAGAUGGGUGUGCCUCUUUUGGGGUCGGUUCACAGGUGGUGCAUGGCUGUCGUCAGCUCGUGUCGUGAGAUGUUGGGUUAAGUCCCGCAACGAGCGCAACCCUUGUUCACUGUUGCCAGCACGUUAUGGUGGGGACUCAGUGGAGACCGCCGGGGUCAACUCGGAGGAAGGUGGGGAUGACGUCAAGUCAUCAUGCCCCUUAUGUCCAGGGCUUCACGCAUGCUACAAUGGCUGGUACAGAGAGUGGCGAGCCUGUGAGGGUGAGCGAAUCUCGGAAAGCCGGUCUCAGUUCGGAUUGGGGUCUGCAACUCGACCUCAUGAAGUCGGAGUCGCUAGUAAUCGCAGAUCAGCAACGCUGCGGUGAAUACGUUCCCGGGGCUUGUACACACCGCCCGUCAGGUCAUGAAAGUUGGUAACACCCGAAGCCGGUGGCCUAACCGUUGUGGGGGAGCCGUCGAAGGUGGGACUGGUGAUUAG
rnacentral:rRNA from 1 species